UGGGGAAUAUUGGACAAUGGGCGAAAGCCUGAUCCAGCAAUGCCGCGUGAGUGAUGAAGGCCUUAGGGUUGUAAAGCUCUUUUACCAGGGAUGAUAAUGACAGUACCUGGAGAAUAAGCUCCGGCUAACUCCGUGCCAGCAGCCGCGGUAAUACGGAGGGAGCUAGCGUUGUUCGGAAUUACUGGGCGUAAAGCGUGCGUAGGCGGCCAUUCAAGUCAGAGGUGAAAGCCUGGAGCUCAACUCCAGAACUGCCUUUGAAACUAGAUGGCUAGAAUCUUGGAGAGGUGAGUGGAAUUCCGAGUGUAGAGGUGAAAUUCGUAGAUAUUCGGAAGAACACCAGUGGCGAAGGCGACUCACUGGACAAGUAUUGACGCUGAGGUACGAAAGCGUGGGGAGCAAACAGGAUUAGAUACCCCCGUAGUCCCUGAGCGGGCUGGCAAGGCGCAU
rnacentral:rRNA from 1 species